AUCCAGAUGACGAAUCCCAAAAGGGACGAAACGUGCGACCUGGAU
rnacentral:hammerhead_ribozyme from 1 species